GACGUAGGGGGCGAGCGUUGUCCGGAAUCAUUGGGCGUAAAGAGCGUGUAGGCGGCUCGAUAAGUCUGCUGUGAAAGUCCAGGGCUCAACCCUGGAAGGCCGGUGGAAACUGUCGGGCUAGAGUCCGGAAGAGGCGAGUGGAAUUCCCGGUGUAGCGGUGAAAUGCGCAGAUAUCGGGAGGAACACCAAUGGCGAAGGCAGCUCGCUGGGACGGUACUGACGCUGAGACGCGAAAGCGUGGGGAGCAAACAGG
rnacentral:rRNA from 1 species